CUCCAGGUGUUGUCAGGUAUCUCCAGGGGUCUUCAGGUGUUGUCAGGUGUCUCCAGGUGUUGUCAGGUGUUGUCAGGUGUCUCCAGGUGUCUCCAGGUAUUGUCAGGUGUUGUCAGGUGUCUCCAGGUAUUGUCAGGUGUUGUCAGGUAUCUCCAGGUGUUGUCAGGUGUCUCCAGGUGU